AUCCAACCAAUAGUUCAGUUGGUUAGAGCUUGGUGCUGAUUAUGCCAAGGUUGCAGGUUCGAUCCCCUUAUGGGACA